UACGUAGGUGGCAAGCGUUGUCCGGAAUUAUUGGGCGUAAAGCGCGCGCAGGCGGUCCUUUAAGUCUGAUGUGAAAGCCCACGGCUCAACCGUGGAGGGUCAUUGGAAACGGGCGGGCUUGAGUUCGGGAGAGGAGCGUGGAAUUCCCAGUGUAGAGGUGAAAUUCGUAGAUAUUGGGAAGAACACCGGUGGCGAAGGCGGCGCUCUGGACCGAGACUGACGCUGAGGCGCGAAAGCGUGGGGAGCAAACAGG
rnacentral:rRNA from 1 species